AAAUUCACAGGUUCUCGUCAGAUCACCGAAGUUAAGCGAUAUCAAGCCUAGUCAGAACCUAGAUGAGUGACCUCUUGGGAGUACCAGGGGCUGUAAG